UGGGGAAUCUUGCGCAAUGGGCGAAAGCCUGACGCAGCAACGCCGCGUGUGUGAUGAAGGUCUUCGGAUCGUAAAGCACUGUCGGGAGGGACGAAUAAGGGCCGGGUGAACAAUCCGGUCUGACGACGGUACCUCCAGAGGAAGCACCGGCUAACUCUGUGCCAGCAGCCGCGGUAAUACAGAGGGGGCAAGCGUUAUUCGGAAUUAUUGGGCGUAAAGGGCGCGUAGGCGGUUUUUUAAGUCAGAUGUGCAAUCCCCGAGCUCAACUUGGGAACUGCAUCUGAGACUGGAAGGCUAGAGUACGGUAGAGGGGGAUGGAAUUCCGCGUGUAGCAGUGAAAUGCGUAGAUAUGCGGAGGAACACCGAUGGCGAAGGCAAUCCCCUGGACCUGUACUGACGCUCAUGCACGAAAGCGUGGGGAGCAAACAGG
rnacentral:rRNA from 1 species